UUCCAUGAAUGCGCAGUAGAUAAUCGUACAAAUAUCAACACGAACAUAGAGCGUAGGAUCAUCCUUGGCUCACGUAUAGACUCGGUUUGUCGGUUGACCCGAAUUAAUAUCCACCUCCUGUCGGGAUUUUAUGGCGAACAUCAAGCGUUCAUAUAAAAGUACGGUAUCCUUUUGCCAAAGGCACAGUAAGUUUUGUGAAAUCGUCGAAAGAAAUCAUACAUUUUUUCCAACAUCUGCUCGUAGUACUCAAUUCUAAGCGGUUCGAACAAAUUAUGAAUUUCCUAAGGAAGCAAUUGAUGCUCGUAUUCCUAAUGGCAGUAAUCGGAAUGUUGAGCAACGUUGUUAAUUGUCGAACAACCUCAAGACCGCUGUCGGGUGCAAUAACAGCUUACCCGAUUCCGCCACUUCCAUCGUACGUAUCAUCGGGCGGUUGGGUUUAUCCGAAACCAAUAAUUCACGAGUCCCAACACAAAAAUGUGAGACCGUGACGAUCGCAUAUGCCUGCACAACGGAUAACGAGUCUUGAAUACCGAUGGAUCGUCAAUUACGGCGCAAAUUCUACUCUCAGGUUUUAACAUGGAUUUUUCGAAGAACCUCGCACUCCGGAUGCACUUGAACAUCAAUCGUAACACACCAGUACUAGCUUGUAAAAUAAUCGCACUAGUUUUUUUCGUGUCCAAUUAUAGUAGAUAUACAACGAACAGACAGUGUUUAAAAUAUAAUUUUAAAUGCGCACUACCAACAAUUGAGGAUCCACUCCACUCUUUUAACGAUGUUCGACUCUCAGUUUCGAAAAAAAACUAACCCUCAAUAGUACUCACAUUGACUAUUGCAUACCAUUUUCGAUUGAGUUGCCUCGAGCAACGGUGCGCGAAUAGAAUAUUUUCAAAAAUCAUUCGAUGUAUGUGUAAAUUUCUCAAGCUGUCACUACGAUUCAGAAUCAAAUGAAUAAUAUAUUCUGCAUGUAUCGUACUACAAUAUGUUCUGUUCGGUGCCAUCUCCCAUCUGCAAAUGCACGUUACUCUAUUUGCGUAAACAGCACGAACAUCGGACGUGGUCCAACUAUUUAAUAAUACGAGUCACGAAUUCUCUUUUGUUACACGCAUAAAAGUAUUUUUUUCCCUUCCUCAUAAUAAUACGUUUAUUUUGUAUUUUUCUGUGAAAUAAAUCCAAUAAAAGAACGCGCCAAAAAUUAUAACUACAAA